GCUUAGUUAUAACCUCAUUGGUUGAUAUCUUUGUCGGAAGUACAUUUGAAACAUCCUCAUUCUUUCAAUACCCGACCUGUGGGAAGGUCGUGCUACACGUGUUGUCGGCAAAGUAACUAUAUUCUUUAACUUUUACUUACAUUUGCCUUGGUGGCAAUAUAGCCCUGGGGGCUUUAAGACAUUGGUGGUCAUUUAUAUAUGCCUUGGUGGCAAUAAACAUAGGUGGUCAUUUAUAUAUGCC
rnacentral:lncRNA from 1 species